UGACGUAGGGUGCAAGCGUUAAUCGGAAUUACUGGGCGUAAAGCGUGCGCAGGCGGUUGUGCAAGACAGAUGUGAAAUCCCCGGGCUUAACCUGGGAAUGGCAUUUGGGACUGCAAGGCUUGAGUGCGGCAGAGGAGACUGGAAUUCCUGGUGUAGCAGUGAAAUGCGUAGAUAUCAGGAGGAACACCGAUGGCGAAGGCAAUCCCCUGGACCUGUACUGACGCUCAUGCACGAAAGCGUGGGGAGCAAACAGG
rnacentral:rRNA from 1 species